UGGGGAAUUUUGGACAAUGGGCGCAAGCCUGAUCCAGCCAUGCCGCGUGCGGGAAGAAGGCCUUCGGGUUGUAAACCGCUUUUGUCAGGGAAGAAACGGCUCUUUCUAAUAAAGAGGGCUGAUGACGGUACCUGAAGAAUAAGCACCGGCUAACUACGUGCCAGCAGCCGCGGUAAUACGUAGGGUGCAAGCGUUAAUCGGAAUUACUGGGCGUAAAGCGUGCGCAGGUGGCUUUGCAAGACAGAUGUGAAAUCCCCGGGCUCAACCUGGGAACUGCAUUUGUGACUGCAUGGCUAGAGUACGGUAGAGGGGGAUGGAAUUCCGCGUGUAGCAGUGAAAUGCGUAGAUAUGCGGAGGAACACCGAUGGCGAAGGCAAUCCCCUGGACCUGUACUGACGCUCAUGCACGAAAGCGUGGGGAGCAAACA
rnacentral:rRNA from 1 species